CAGUAGGAUCUUCCACAAUGGGCGCAAGCCUGAUGGAGCAACACCGCGUGAGUGAAGAAGGGUUUCGGCUCGUAAAGCUCUGUUGUUAAAGAAGAACACGUAUGAGAGUAACUGUUCAUACGUUGACGGUAUUUAACCAGAAAGUCACGGCUAACUACGUGCCAG
rnacentral:rRNA from 1 species